ensembl:lncRNA
CUGGGAUUCCUAUGCUUUGCUCAAAACAACUGACAAAAAGAGGUCUGCCUCUCCAACCCCGCUACUGCUGUGAAGGAUUGCUGUCUGAGACGGCAGCUCACUUCCUGUGCAUUAAUCAUUAGCUCCAUCUCUGGUAUGUGCAGCCAUGCACAUACCAAGGGUCCAAACUCCAAGCACUCAAGAUGGUUCAGAGGGAGGCACAAUCCAUAGCCACAGGCAGCCUGAGGACCGACUGCAUUUUGGAAUGCAGCCCCUGCACCGGGCCGGAGAGCAGGCACACACGUGGAAAGACACAGGAGACCUCCCAGAGAAACUGCAUGCUGCCCAAUCCUCCAGAGAGUGCAGAAAAAUCUGUUCAAGGCAACUUCAAAACAGCAGGAGAUGUUUUGACAACAAAACUGUGCAGCUAUGAUUAGCCUGAUAAAAGGGAGCCAGAGUUGGAGUAUUGAUGAGUCUGAUGAUGCCAGCAAAUGCACUUCAUGGAUGUGCAAAAGCUCUGAGUGUUGAGAAAACGGAGUUCUUUUAGAUGCCAGAUUAUUAAAAAGAGAGUGCAUGGCAGAGAAAGAAAGUUCACUUCUACAUCUCUACAACAGCACCACACAGCCCUGUUGCAUUGGCUGUAAGAAAGAAAGAAAACCCUCUGAUUUCUGCCUGUUAUCAGUGCACCAAAUGACAAAACUUGGGACAUCAUCUCAGCUAAGCAGAACUGCUAAUAACUGCAAGACACACUGCUGACAACUGAGAGACACAAGCUGGCUCUGGCCAUACAGGACAGACGUGCAGCCCAGGCAUGGCACUCUUGGGUCACAGCUGAGAGCCAGGUUUCACCUGCAGACUUCUUCAUAUACAUCAGGAUUGCUGGGCUUCUUUUUAACCCCUCAAGACAAUGGUUUCAAGUACGUUUUUAUUUCCAAAGACUACUUCCUGAUUCCUUCUUUUCUGACAUUUCUAAGCAUUGUUCCAAGUGCUGUGUUAACUUACCCAUAACUUGUUGCUAUGCUGCUAAGAAAAUAGAACCAUCCAUCAUAACAUCUCCUACCGAUUUUAUGCUGAGGGGAUUAUAAAUCAAUAGCUAUAAGGAGGCAGUGCGAAACAGACAGGUGCAUGCAUACGCACUGUAACGAAGUAAAGAUGAGUUACCAUGGAGCACUGGGAAGACCACGUGGAUGGAAGGACCAUGUAAGGUCUACGAACAUCUUAAAUGGUGAUUAAAAUGUUUUAGAAACGUUGCCAAACAAGACGAACUGCCCUCCUGUAAUCUGCCCAGGAAUGUUCCUUUAUGCGCCGUGCGCAUGUGUGCACACACUCGCUUCUAUCUGGGUCACAAUUUUUUAGCAACAGAGUAAGAAGAAGAUAUUGAGCAGCCCAGUAAGUGAUUUACCUUUAAGUUCUGAGGAGGUUCUGCCACUUUCCGCUGUCACAGAAGCUUAAGACAACAGUUUGCAUAGCCCUGACCUACCCCAUAGCCUGUGCUGGGCUAACCAGCCGCCCUGCUGGUGCUGGGUCACACAAAACAACUCUGGCAUCGGGAAUACAGAAAGGGCAGAAAUGGAGCCUACAGAGCAGCGUUUGGUGUGCCGGGCCACCACGGCAUGGAACGGGAUGAAACUCAGAGGCAAACUGAAAAUGACCUCCUUGCUCUUCUUGUGAUCAAAGGAGAUUCGUGCUCUGGAGAGUAGGUUUUGUUUUAAGAUGAGACUCUUGAGUCUGUUCGUACCCAUUUCUGCUCAAGGACUAUUGAAUCAAUGUGGCCAGCUGCACCAGAAGCAACACAAACGAAAGCAGCGAGCCCCUCUCCUCGCCCCUGUGCCACCGAUACCUCUUCAGCAGCAGCUCCGAGGCUCACGUGCAGGACGGAGGUUUGCACUGCGGUAGCACCAAGGAGCCCAAGCAGCGGAUCAGGACGGCACUGAACCAAGCAAAUAAAUAAAUAAACAUGUAGAAAACAUCUGCUUUAUGCGCAACGGCGACGUGCAUGGAGCACAUGGAUAUUUCUCUACAGAAAUGAAAGCGUGUUACACGGCUGCUCCGCGCCGCCCCGCCUCGCCCAACGCGCUGGCCGUGUGCCUACCAGAGCCGGGCGAACACCUCGGC